rnacentral:rRNA from 1 species
UACAGAGGGUGCAAGCGUUGUUCGGAAUUAUUGGGCGUAAAGGGCGCGUAGGCGGCCUGGCAAGUGGAAGGUGAAAUCCCUCGGCUUAACCGAGGAACUGCCUUCCAAACUGCUUGGCUUGAGUCCGGGAGAGGUGAGUGGAAUUCCCAGUGUAGCGGUGAAAUGCGCAGAUAUCGGGAGGAACACCGGUGGCGAAGGCGGUUCUCUGGGCCUUACCUGACGCUGAGGAGCGAAAGCGUGGGGAGCGAACAGG